ACAUGAAUGAAAAUAUAUAAAUCAAACCCCCAAAUCCUCACGGCUUCAAUCUCAAACUGUCUACUGUGGACCUCACUCCAUUCUUAAGGGGUCCUUAAAGGGGUGUGCAUAAGUUCACCAGCAUGCCUACCUUCCCGGUCUUACUGUCACCAUUUAUCAGUGUUUACUUCCUUUGUUCAUGUUUAUAUUCCUACCUAUACUU